UAGGGGGGGGAACUCUGACGCAGCAAUACCGCGUGCGGGAAGACGCUUUGUGGAGUGUAAACCGCUGUCAGGUGGGAAGAAUUUUGACGGUACCACCAGAGGAAGCACCGGCUAACUCUGUGCCAGCAGCCGCGGUAAUACAGAGGGUGCAAGCGUUGUCCGGAUUUAUUGGGCGUAAAGCGUCUGUAGGUUGUUUAUCAAGUCUGGAGUGAAAGAAUGGGGCUUAACCCCAUCCCCGCUCUGGAAACUGGUAGACUAGAGACAGUUAGAGGUAAGUGGAAUUUCCAGUGUAGCGGUGAAAUGCGUAGAUAUUGGAAGGAACACCAGAGGCGAAGGCGGCUUACUGGGGCUGUUCUGACACUGAGAGACGAAAGCUUGGGGAGCGAAUGGGAUUAGAUACCCCCUGGUAGUACAAA
rnacentral:rRNA from 1 species